rnacentral:rRNA from 1 species
GGUCCAGCCGCCGCGGUAAACCGGCAGCACGAGAUGACCGGUGUUAUUGGGCCUAAAGCGUCCGUAGCUGGCCGCGCAAGUCUAUCGGGAAAUCUCUUCGCUUAACGGAGAGGCGAUCCGGUGGAAAAAUGUGGCUUGGGACCGGAAGACCAGAGGGGUACGUCUGGGGUAGGAGUGAAAUCCCGUAAUCCUGGACGGACCACCGGUGGCGAAAGCGCCUCUGGAAGACGGAUCCGACGGUGAGGGACGAAAGCUCGGGUCACGAACCGGAUUAGAUACCCGGGUAGUCC